rnacentral:sRNA from 1 species
UAUUGUUCUUCAACGAGGAAUCCCUAGUAAGCACAAGUCAUCAGCUUGUGUUGAUUACGUCCCUGCCCUUUGUACACACCGCCCGUCGCUACUACCGAUUGAAUGGCUUAGUGAGACCCUCGGAUUGGUAUUCAGAAGCUUUAACCGGCAUCUGUUUGCUGAGAAGUUGGUCAAACUUGGUCAUUUAGAGGAAGUAAAAGUCGUAACAAGGUUUCCGUAGGUGAACCUGCGGAAGGAUCAUUAAUGAUUUUUAAAGCGAGUCGAGCGUUAAGCGAGGCUUGCGAAAUAUUUAAAACCCCACUCUUUUUAACCUUAAAAAAUAAAUCAUGAUACAUGAAUUUAAAAAAAAGAUCACUUUCAACAACGGAUCUCUUGGCUCUCGCAUCGAUGAAGAACGCAGCGAAAUGCGAUAAGUAGUGUGAAUUGCAUAAUUUUGUGAAUCAUCGAAUCUUUGAACGCAAAUUGCACUCCCUGGUAUUCCGGGGAGUAUGCCUGUUUGAGGGUCGUUAGAAUAAAAAAUCGAAGCGUCGCUCUUUUUUUUAAGGGUGAUCGCGUCGGAAUUGAGCCGUCUUUCAAAUGUUAAUUCAUGUCAAAGUGGCUUAAAAUUCAUCCACCCGGUACGAUUAAAGCGUAUUUAAGAUCAAUUUUGUUCAAGAACGCGCGAUGAAGUACCAUCUCAUGUAGUACGUUUGACCUGGGUCAUCAGGCUCAUUCGUAUACGAUACUCAAACUUUUGACCUCAAAUCAGGUAAGAAUACCCGCUGAACUUAAGCAUAUCAAUAAGCGGAGGAAAAGAAAAUAACAAUGAUUCCCUCAGUAACGGCGAGCGAAGAGGGAUAAGCUCAAAUUUUAAAUCUGUUGGGUUCCACUUAACAGAGUUGUAUUUUGAAGAAACGUUUUCUGCAUCCAGGAUUAGCCUAAAUCCUUUGGGAUAAGGUAUCAUGGAGGGUGAGAAUCCCGUUCAUGGUUAAUCUUAAGGAAGCUCUACGAUACGUUUUCCAAGAGUCGAGUUGUUUGGGAUUGCAGCUCAAAAUGGGAGGUAAAUUUCUCCUAAGGCUAAAUAUUGGCGAGAGACCGAUAGCGAACAAGUACCGUGAGGGAAAGAUGAAAAGAACUUUGAAAAGAGAGUUAAACAGUACGUGAAAUUGUUGAAAGGGAAACGAUUGAAGUCAGUCAUACCAACGGGAAAUCAACCUUUUGAGCUCGGUCUCGUGGGUUUUGAAGAGUUUCAAAGCCUUCGGAUUCGCGGGAUUGGGAUCUCUCGGUGUACUUUCUCGUACGGUUAGUCAACAUCGGUUUUGAAUGUCAUAAAAUGACUGGAGGAAUGUAGCUUCGAUCUCGUAUUGAAGUGUUAUAGCCUUUGGUAGAUGUGAUGUUUGAGACCGAGGAUUGCAACGGAUACCCUUCAGGGCUAUUCGUCUGAUCUCUGAUACGUUGCCUUGAUGUUGAAAGCUUGCUUAUGAUGUUAGGGUAUUACGGUCAAAAGGUUAGAACGAAUUACAUUCGUUAAGGAUGUUGACGUAAUGACUUUAAACGACCCGUCUUGAAACACGGACCAAGGAGUCUAACAUAUAUGCGAGUGUUAAAGGGNGAAUUCCAGCACACUGGCGGCCGUUACUAGUGGAUCCGAGCUCGGUACCAAGCUUGAUGCAUAGCUUGAGUAUUCUAUAGUGUCACCUA